UACAGAGGGGGCAAGCGUUGUUCGGAAUUACUGGGCGUAAAGGGCGCGUAGGCGGCCUUCUAAGUCGAACGUGAAAUCCCCGGGCUCAACCCGGGAACUGCGUCCGAUACUGGAAGGCUUGAAUCCGGGAGAGGGAUGCGGAAUUCCAGGUGUAGCGGUGAAAUGCGUAGAUAUCUGGAGGAACACCUGUGGCGAAAGCGGCUCACUGGACCAUUACUGACGCUGAUGCUCGAAAAGCUAGGGGAGCAAACAGG
rnacentral:rRNA from 1 species